UUGAAGCCAUAAUGGGAAGAAUGGACAGGAAAUCAUCCAUUGAAACAGAGCCCGAACCAAAUCCAAUUUGCAAGAGAAGCAGCGCUGUACGUGAUGAACACAACUAGCAUGGAAGAAGCAAUCAAGAUCUUCACAGAGGGAUUAGAAGCAGUGGAAUGCAAAGCAAUUCGAGAUGAAGAUGAAUCCAUAAUGGAGAAUUGGUUCCAUGAACAAGAUGCUGAUGAGCUUCCACCUCUUUAUCAGCUUAGAGACAUUGUCACUGCCCCUUUUUAGUCAGCUAAAUAUCAUCACUUUCCUUUGUAAUCAAAAUUUUGAUUUACCUCUUGUCUCGAUAUCAUCUCGAUGUCGAAUUCAUAUUAGACGUAGAAAUAUCGAUGAAAAUAGCGACAUGUCUAAUACUCUAAGUCUAAUAUCUAAUUUUAAGCAUGUCCAUGUCGAUAUCGAUGU